CCUCUUGGAGAGUACCUCUUUCCAUAUAUUGAGAAAAGAAAUCUCACUGUGAUUUCUUUUGAGAACAGUGGUUCUCAAAAUUUGAAAUCAGAACCAGCAGCAUUAUCUGGGAACUUGUGAGAAAUGCCAGUUCUCAGAUCCCAGCCCAAACAUACUGACUGAGGAACUCUGAAAGUGGCUCCCAGCUACCUGUGUUUUAAUGAGCCCUCCAGGAGAUUCUGACGCACCUAAACUUUGAGCACCACGGACAGACCAUGGUAUGGUUUUCAGACAGCAAUACUGCUUCCAAUAAUGUUGAGGACAGUGAUAAAAGGACAAAAGAGUAAGUUUAAAGAGGUUUCCUCCGGCUAAAUUAGAAUUUAAGGAUUAAAAUUUACGUACUUAAUUGGUACAAGUUGAGUUUGUGAAAGGUUGUAAAAUCAUGAUGUUACUUGGAAGAGAAAAAAAUAAAGUAUGUGGAAAAAUUAGUUGUAUAAUAGCAUAUAAUAUUUAGUUAAAAAAUUAAUUUUAAUAAGUAAGGGAGUAGUAACAUCAGGCUGCUAGGUUCUUCUAUUAAGUUUCUAUUUUAUAAAAGAUAAAUAUGCAUUUUAAUCUUUUUUCCUUGUUUUAAGUAGGUACAUAGCUGCAAUAAUGUGCCUCUCAGAUUUCCCUCUGUCUGCAGAAAGUGUAACUGACCAAGAGCCCCAACUGCUAGCUUUGGAAUCUAUCACCUCAAUGAGCCAGGCUGUGCUUUCUCAUGCGCGGCUCCCAGAUAAUGACUGAGUGAGGCAGAGAUAACUGCUGAGGCCCAUUCCUGGGCAGGACUCCUUUGACAGGCAUUUCCUGUAAUAAAUCUCUUACACAUUUAA